ACGGGAGGCAGCAGUGGGGAAUAUUGGGCAAUGGGGGAAACCCUGACCCAGCAACGCCGCGUGAAGGAAGAAGGCUUUCGGGUUGUAAACUUCUUUUACCAGGGACGAAGGACGUGACGGUACCUGGAGAAAAAGCCACGGCUAACUACGUGCCAGCAGCCGCGGUAAUACGUAGGUGGCAAGCGUUGUCCGGAUUUACUGGGUGUAAAGGGUGCGUAGGCGGGACUGCAAGUUGGAUGUGAAAUACCGGGGCUUAACCCCGGAGCUGCAUCCAAAACUGUGGUUCUUGAGUGGAGUAGAGGUAAGCGGAAUUCCGAGUGUAGCGGUGAAAUGCGUAGAUAUUCGGAGGAACACCAGUGGCGAAGGCGGCUUACUGGGCUCUAACUGACGCUGAGGCACGAGAGCAUGGGGAGCAAACAGGAUUAGAUACCCUGGUA
rnacentral:rRNA from 1 species